AAAAUACUAUUUAAUCUAAAAUCAGACAAUAAACCAACAACAGAACUACAUCAGCCAAGACAAAUGCUUGGAAGAAUGGACACAUUUCCCCCCUGGUGUCAAAAUUCAAUUAGUGUUGAUAUUGAUUGCACCUGAGAAUGGAGGACAUGCCAGAGUCGGGUGCCACUCUUGAGAAUACCCUAUCAUGAGUCAUUGCAUUUCCCAUCUCAGAGAAUUGUGACAUUGUGAAAAGGGCUGGAUGGAAUCUUGUAUGCUUCCUUCCAGCAACUGGUGCCAAACAUAUUGCUCUGCUUUCCUUUGGCCCACAUCAAUGAGCUCUUGUCAUCUGGGCAGGCCAGGACCUCCAUACACAGUUCCUGGGCUUGCGCCCUGAGGAUGUCACUUCAGUGCUGCUAAUGCAGAAAAAACAAUGCAGAAGGCAGAAGUUAUGAGUUACCGGUCUCUGCAGCCACAGCAGGCGCUGUGAUUUCCCAGCAGUUUGACUUCACCCCUGGAGGUGCACUCCAUUGUCUCGAGAAAGACAGUUGCCAACAUCAUAGAAUCAUAGAAUCAUAGAGUUGGAAGAGACCACAAGGGCCAUCGAGUCCAACCCCCUGCCAAGCAGGAAACACCAUCAGAGCACUCCUGACAUAUGGUUGUCAAGCCUCUGCUUAAAGACCUCCAAAGAAGGAGACUCCACCACACUCCUUGGCAGCAAAUUCCACUGUCGAACAGCUCUUACUGUCAGGAAGUUCUUCCUAAUGUUUAGGUGGAAUCUUCUUUCUUGUAGUUUGGAUCCAUUGCUCCGUGUCCGCUUCUCUGGAACAUCUCUGGAACUUUCUUGAUCUUCAUUCUUUUCCCAGUUUAACAAGCCAUGCUGCCCCUUAAAUAAGUAUUACAUUAUUAAGGUCAUUUAUUGCCUUGUAUAAAAGAAGCAAUGUAUUAUUGUCAUCUUGUGUGCAGCUGGAAAAUGGGUAUUGAUACGGAACAAAACAAAGAUCAUCUCUCAGAGGGUCUCUGGUAGGAAGAUCUAAGGCAAAAAGGCCCAUUUAGAUGCAUAGUAAUCUGCAUUACAGAACAGAGCUUUGCAAGCAAAAACUUCAGUCAAUAUUUUAAAUUAACCAAAUAUACAGUAAACAGGGUUAAAGGCAGCAAGCAAUUACAUUAAAAGCAGGCAUAAAAAAGCACUUGUCACUUUUAUUCAUCAGCCUGUUUGCCCAGAAUCCAAAAGCUAACUGUUUGUGUGAACAAGACCUACUUUGUGAUAUAAAACAUUAGUUCUUGUCAUACAUCCUUCUGAUUAUUGAUAGUUGUGCUUGGAUGGCAUUGAUCCGAGUGGAUUUCUUGCUGAACACAACAUCAGAGCUUUAACACCAGACAGACUUACACUAUAUUUUCAGCCAAUCUCAUUCUUGCGUACAGGCAGGUCAAAGGUAUUUCUUCCUCCCCCUCCAAUACGAUUGAUUAAGAAGGGCAUCUGAAACAAGGCCAUCACUGCCUGGACAGCAUGAGAGCUUCUACGUAGUGCUUUGUAAUGCAACAGCUCCCUUAUGUAGCUGCAAACACCCCACACCGCCCCAUUUCAGUGACGUCUUUAGGACAAUUCCAGGCCACUUUCAGGUUUGGCGCGAUGUGCUUAUACACAAUUGGGCACAUAUUGAACGUGCAUAAACCGGGUGGGCUGGGUGGGCUGCCUGUAUACUGAAUUAAGUGAUCUGCUAUAGAAUAUUACCAGAUAGAAUAUUGGGAUUCCUUGUUACUGCAUAUAGCUGCCAUGUUUUUACUGGAAUCUGUGGGACUAAAAGAGAUGGACCAAGCCACUAUUUUGGCAUUAACAAGCUUCUGCUUCUGCUAAGAUCACAAGGGAGUUUUGCAGGUUUUGCUCCUGUGCUGCCAUCUCACUUCAUUGUCAAAAUGCAAUAUGUAUCUAUUAAAGCACAAAGCAAGUAUACAAUACAAUAAGCUCAUAGUGUGGACUUACCCCACUUCCAUCACAAGGAUGCUAUAGCUCAUUCAAAUAGGUCGUUCCACACGUGAUCAACAAAAAGCAUACCUGUAGGACAGUUUUACCACCUAUGACUUCAAGUAGUCUUUCUAUAAGCUCAGGGACAUCGUUAGCUAAAAAUGCACAUACAUUAAAAAAAGCAUAAGCGAGGGAGAACAGUUUUACAUGGAAGAUUUACAAGGAAGAUUACAAUGCCUGUCCAAUCACUUCUUUGCCAAAAAAUACUCACUAUAAGCACAUCUUAAACCCUGGCAAAUUUAAUUGCUCCAAGAUAUUGGUUGGCCAACUAACUACAAACAAAAAUAAUAUCACAUGCAUAUUACUUAAAUAAUAUUUUUAUAAUGGCAUUUAGAAUUUAAAACCAUUAAUGACUUGAUAUUUGUGGUUGUUAUUUUAAAAAUUUUAUGGAUGUAUGGAGUGGAUGUGGCUUCAAGUAAAUAUUUAGGUACAUUGGUCAAACUGAAUAUUUAACAUUUAUGUAUACUAUCUGUGCAGUUUAGGAUUAGACGAUUCAUGCUUGUUUGCUUAUUUGGUUAUUGGAUCUGUAGAUGCGAUAAUUAAAAAAAUUAAAAAUAAAAACUCAAAUGUUGUGAUGUUGUGCAAAUUCUUUGCUUGCCUAGCAAUGUUGGGUGUGAUUUUUCAGCCUUCCUUAUAACUAUUUCUUUUCCAUCAAGUAUCCAGUGUAUGUCUGUGCUUGUGUGUUCACCUACACUUACAAUGCCUGCAUUACAGACAACCACAAUUGUGUACAUCAGCCGGUGUGGUUUUGUGGUUAGAGUACUAGAGUGUCAGACCAGGAUUCAAAUCCCCACUCAACUAUGAGGAAAGCGCUAUUUAAUGUUUGGUUAAGAUAUAAGGAUUUGUUAGAAAAUAAAACCCCAAGGUGGCUGUCACCAAUGGAAGCGAAAGCCUUGAAAAAGGUCAAUAUGGAGGUCAAAUGGCCGAAAUAUUGGGAAAUUUUGGAACAAGACGGAGAUAGACUGAAAUUGCAGAGUUUUGAAAAACUAAAAACAAAGUGCGAGACUGGCUUCAUUAUUAUCAGAUAAUGGAGGCAUUUAAAUUGGACAGGAAAAUUGGCUUCCAGGUGGAAAGAUCCAAAUUAGAAACAGAAUUGUUAGAACCCAAAACUAAGAAUUUGUCAAGAAUGUAUAACUUGCUGCUGAAAUGGAAUACUCAAGAUGAAACGGUAAAAUCGGCUAUGAUUAAAUGGGCACAGGACGUUGGACAUAACAUUAUGUUUGCUGACUGGGAACAGUUAUGGACCACAGGUAUGAAAUUUACGGCAUGUAAUGCCUUAAGAGAGAAUAUUAUGAAAAUGAUAUACAGGUGGUACAUAACCCCAGUCAAGCUUGCGAAAAUUUAUCACUUGCCCGAUAACAAAUGUUGGAAAUGUAAAGAAACUGAAGGUACAUUUUUUCACCUUUGGUGGACAUGCCCAAAGAUUAAGGCUUUCUGGGAAAAAGAUAUAUAAUGAAUUAAAGAAGGUAUUUAAGUAUACCUUUCCUAAGAAACCAGAGGCCUUUCUCCUGGGCAUAGUGGGCCAAAUGGUGUUAAAAAAGGAUAGAACUUUCUUUAUGUAUGCAACAACAGCAGCAAGAAUACUCAUCGCAAAGUAUUGGAAGACACAAGAACUUCCCACGCUGGAGGAAUGGCAGAUGAAACUUAUGGACUAUAUGGAAUUGGCGGAAAUGACUGGUAGAAUCCGUGACCAGGGAGAAGAGUCGGUGGAGGAAGACUGGAAGAAAUUCAAAGACUAUCUUCAGAAACACUGCAAAAUUAAGGAAUGUUAGAAUGAUGUUGGAUUGAAAAUAAGUGGUUUCCAGCUGUACAGGUUAAAGUUAAGGAUAAAUUAAGAUUAAAGAUCAAGAUUAAAGAUGUUUAAAGAAAUGGAAAUUUGAUAAUAAAAGGGAAAAAUUUAAAGGUAUAUGACAUUAAGAACAAGGAUUAGGCUUAAAAAAGUUGAAGUUAUAUAUUUUAAUAUCUUAUUAAACUAAAGAUUGGGUUUAAAAAAGUGGAAAAGAAACUGCUGGACAAAUAAUGUAGAUUGGCAUACAAAAGAGGGAGGUAUCAGGAAGUCCAGAAAAUAAGUAAUUUAAAAUUGGGAAUGGAAAAGAGAGUUGGUUUUUAAUUGUUAUGUUUUGUGUUUUUAUUGUUAAAUUUUGUAUUGUUUUUUCUUGUGUGUUGUUUUUCUUUUUUCUUUGUUUAAAACUUUAAUAAAAAUUAU